rnacentral:tRNA from 1 species
GGAAGUGUGCCCGAGAGAUAAGGAUCUCCUUGAUAAGGAGGACAACAGGGACUCAAACUCCCUCGCUUCCU